GACGAACGCUGGCGGCGUGCUUAACACAUGCAAGUCGAACGGAAAGGCCCUGCUUUUGUGGUGUGCUCGAGUGGCGAACGGGUGUGUAACACGUGUGUCACCUGCCCUUGACUUUGGGAUAACUUCAGGAAACUGGGGCUAAUACCGGAUAGGAGCUCCUGCUGCAUGGUGGGGGUUGGAAAUUUUCGGCGGUUGGGGAUGGACUCGCGGCUUAUCAGCUUGUUGGUGGGGUAGUGGCUUACCAAGGCUUUGACGGGUAGCCGGCCUGAGAGGGUGACCGGCCAAAUGGGGACUGGGAUACGGCCAAGACUCCUACGGAGGGAAGAAGUGGGGAUUAUUGAAAAAGGGGCGGAAGCCUGAGGAAGAAAGGCCGCGGGCGGGAUAACGGCCUUCGGGUUGUAAACCGCUUUGGCCUGUGAGGAGGCGUGAGUGACGGUAAUGGGUAAAGAAGCACCGGCUAACUACGUG
rnacentral:rRNA from 1 species